rnacentral:rRNA from 1 species
UUAAAUGAAUGAGUGCACCCUGCUGUUGCAGCGUCUUCAGUGUGAUAAGCAUCUUCACUGGAACAAAGUUCCUUAGGGACACGAAUGCAUUGCAGGCCCUGUGCUGGCAAACUGUCUUUGGACAAAUAACUUGACAAUUUGACCUCAAAUCGGGUGGGACUACCCGCUGAACUUAAGCAUAUCAAUAAGCGGAGGAAAAGAAACUAACAAGGAUUCCCCUAGUAACGGCGAGUGAAGAGGGAAAAGCUCAAAUUUUGAAUCUGGUGUCUUUGGCGCCCGAGUUGUAAUCUAGAGAAGUGUUUUCUGCCUCGGACCACACAUAAAUUCCCUGGAAUGGGGUGUCAUAGAGGGUGAGAAUCCCGUUUGUGGUGUGGACUACCUUGGCUCUGUGAUACACUCUCAACGAGUCGAGUUGUUUGGGAAUGCAGCUCAAAAUGGGUGGUAAAUUCCAUCUAAAGCUAAAUAUUGGCGAGAGACCGAUAGCGAACAAGUACCGUGAGGGAAAGAUGAAAAGCACUUUGGAAAGAGAGUGAAACAGUACGUGAAAUUGUUGAAAGGGAAGCGUUUGAAGUCAGUCACAUUGGUCGGAAUUCAGCCUGGCUUCUGCCUGGUGUACUUUCUGGCAAAUGGGUCAGUGUCAAUUUUGAUCGAGAGAGAAAGACUUGAGGAAUGUGGCUGUCUUUGGGCAGUGUUAUAGCCUCUUGUUGUAUGUCUCGGUUGGGAUUGAGGAAUGCAGCACGCCUUUUGGC